rnacentral:rRNA from 1 species
UACAGAGGGGGCGAGCGUUGUUCGGAAUUACUGGGCGUAAAGGGCGCGUAGGCGGCCAACUAAGUCAGACGUGAAAUCCCUCGGCUCAACCGGGGAACUGCGUCUGAUACUGGAUGGCUUGAAUUCGGGAGAGGGAUGCGGAAUUCCAGGUGUAGCGGUGAAAUGCGUAGAUAUCUGGAGGAACACCGGUGGCAAAGGCAGCCCCCUGGGUCAAGAUUGACGCUCAUGCACGAAAGCGUGGGGAGCAAACAGG